CACUAAGCAGGGGACACAGGAAGUAGUUUCUCUUUUCUUCCACCUUGCCUCUGACACCUCAGGGCAGUGAAGGCUUUGAUAUGCGUGAGGAGGCAUCGGGUCAGCAGAUGGAGGAGUCCAGGCCCUGUUCUAGGCAAGAUAAGUACUCUGAGUGAAGUUUGAGGGAACCACCCACCACAGAUUGGAGGGACUCCCACAGAGUCCAACCCCUGAUUUCAGCCCUGUUAGAUCCCAGACAGGGAUCAUUUGAUUUAGUACCUUCUGAAUUCCCUCAGUGAGGACUCUGGGAGCUGAGAGUCAGCAGAUGGAGGCGUCCAGGCUCUGCCACACGUUAAGUUGACCCUUAGACAACUUGGGUUUGAACUGCAUGGAUCUACUUAUACAUGGAUUUUCUUCUGCCUCUGCCACCCAUGAAACAGCAAGACCAACCGUUCCUUUUCCAUUUUUCUCCUCAGCCUACUCAACACAAAGAAGAUGAAUAUGAAGACCUUUGUGAUGAUCCACUUCACUUAAUGAAUAGUUGUAGGCAAAGCCAGCUGCCAUUUCAUAAGAACACUCAGGCAACACUAUGGAGCUGUUCAUUGGCAAGGAAAUUAGUUCUCCUGCCGUAACCAGCAAGGAACUGAAGCUCUUGCUAACAGCUAUGUGAAUUAGUUAUUUUGGAAGCAGAUCCUCCAACUCCAGUCAAGCCAGCUGACAUACAGCACUAGCUGACAUCAUGAUUGCAACCAUGUGAGAAGAUUCGGGUCAGAGCCACCCAGAUGCUGAAACCUGAAGUCAGCAGGGAAGUCAGGAAGAGGAGAUGAUGCAAAGCAGAGGAAGCAAGGAUAAAUGGAAUCCAUGAGGACUAUCUGGAGCUCUCAAGGACUGACUGGGACCCAUGUUGAUCUUCCACUGCCUCCAAACCUCCAAUUUCAAUGACAUCAAUGCCCUGAAAAAAAAAAGUGGGCGUUCUUUUUUAUGGAGCUGGUGAAGAAGGAGGAAGAUAUGAGGGAGAACUGGAGCAAUUGUGGGCCCAACUGCUGCCUCACACCAAGCAGAGAACCCUGAAGGAAGAGGUGCCAGGAGAGAUGAAAGGAAAUAUCAUGGGAAUGGAGUGCUGUUCAGCCUGCGGAAUGUCUGGAAUAUCUGAGAAGCAGCAGGACAACAGUCGAUGCCUCUAGUGGGAAUAAAAGUCAAUUGAAUAUCUACCAGACAAGAUAGAAUUUGCAUAUCCAUCAGUUACAAAGAGGGAAGAAGUAGCUCAAAGACAAUGAAAAGGACCAAAAUCUGAUAAUCCAUAAAGGUAGAUCUAUAGUGAGAAGCUGAACCAUAACUGAAACACUGCUAAGGAAGCAUGGGAUGAUGAGAGAAGACACAUUCAUCUUAGGAUGUAUUCGUUAACCAUAAGAUAAAGGAAAAAGCAGUGCAUGGAAGCUGAAUAUAAGGUAUGGGCAAACCAAGAUCAUUCAUCUCAUACGGUAAUUAUCUCUAAAGCAAGGGCUCCUCCAGGGUAUUCCCUUUGCAGCAGAAGGGUCAUUUUAUCUUAAGGUCAUGCCUACCUAAAUUUCCCUAUUCCCUAAUGUUAGCAUCGAUAACCC
rnacentral:lncRNA from 1 species